GCGUGCGUCGUGCGGGCUAACGAACCCCGGCGCGGAAUGCGCCAAGGAAAACCAAAACGAAGCGCUCGCCCUCGCCCGUGCCCCGUUCGCGGUGCGUGCGGGAGGGGGAAGGUGCGCCUCUUGAAUGUCAAAACGACUCUCGGCAACGGAUAUCUCGGCUCUCGCAGAAUCCCGUGAACCAUCGAGUCUUUGAACGCAAGUUGCGCCCGAAGCCUUCGGGCCGAGGGCACGCCUGCCUGGGCGUCACGCAUCGCGUCGCCCCCCAUCCCGUCUCCCCAGGAGCGGGCGCGGGGGGCGGACAUUGGCCUCCCGUGUGCCUCGGCAUGCGGCUGGCCCAAAUGCGAUCCCCCGGCGACGCGCGUCGCGACCAGUGGUGGUUGAAUCAUCAACUCGCGUGCUGUCAGUCGUGCUCCACGGCGUCGUCCGGUUGGGUAUCAUUAUCGACCCUAACUGCGCGAAGCGCUUUCGACCGCGACCCCAGGUCAGGCGGGAUUACCCG
rnacentral:rRNA from 1 species